rnacentral:rRNA from 1 species
AGUGAACGCUGGCGGUAGGCCUAACACAUGCAAGUCGAACGGCAGCACAGUAAGAGCUCGCUCUUACGGGUGGCGAGUGGCGGAUGGGUGAGGAAUACAUCGGAAUCUACUUUUUCUUGGGUGAUAACGUGGGGACACUUACGCUACUACCGAAUAUAACCUACGGGUGAAAGCAGGGGAUCUUCGGACCUUGGCUGAUUGAAUGAGCCGAUGUCGGAUUAGCUAGUUGGCGGGGUAAAGGCACACCAAGGCGACGAUCCGUAGCUGGUCUGAGAGGAUGAUCAGCCACACUGGAACUGAGACACGGUCCAGACUCCUACGGGAGGCAGCAGUGGGGAAUAUUGGACAAUGGGCGCAAGCCUGAUCCAGCCAUGCCGCGUGGGUGAAGAAGGUCUUCGGAUUGUAAAGCCCUUUUGUUGGGAAAGAAAAGCAGUAGGUUAAUACCCCGCUGUUCUGACGGUACCCAAAGAAUAAGCACCGGCUAACUUCGUG